rnacentral:rRNA from 1 species
CCUACGGGAGGCUGCAGUGGGGAAUAUUGGACAAUGGGGGGAACCCUGAUCCAGCCAUGCCGCGUGUGUGAAGAAGGCCCUCGGGUUGUAAAGCACUUUCAGUGAGGAAGAACGCCUGGUGGUUAAUACCCAUCAGGAAAGACAUCACUCACAGAAGAAGCACCGGCUAACUCCGUGCCAGCAGCCGCGGUAAUACGGAGGGUGCGAGCGUUAAUCGGAAUUACUGGGCGUAAAGCGCGCGUAGGUGGCUUGAUAAGCCGGUUGUGAAAGCCCCUGGCUCAACCUGGGAACGGCAUCCGGAACUGUCAAGCUAGAGUGCAGGAGAGGAAGGUAGAAUUCCCGGUGUAGCGGUGAAAUGCGUAGAGAUCGGGAGGAAUACCAGUGGCGAAGGCGGCCUUCUGGACUGACACUGACACUGAGGUGCGAAAGCGUGGGUAGCAAACAGGAUUAGAUACCCGGGUAGUC